AGGGUGCAAGCGUUAAUCGGAAUUACUGGGCGUAAAGCGUACGCAGGCGGCUUUGCAAGACAGGUGUGAAAUCCCCGGGCCUAACCUGGGAACUGCAUUUGUGACUGCAUAGCUAGAGUUUGUCAGAGGGGGGUGGAAUUCCACGUGUAGCAGUGAAAUGCGUAGAUAUGUGGAGGAACACCGAUGGCGAAGGCAGCCCCCUGGGAUGUGACUGACGCUCAUGUACGAAAGCGUGGGGAGCAAACAGG
rnacentral:rRNA from 1 species